rnacentral:rRNA from 1 species
UACCAUCCGGUUAGAGCUAUCACUCUCACCUAUCAGCCGUUUGUGCUCGUGGUAGUUUUGGUGUUUUCCUACCACGAGGCGAAUGUAAACACCAGGGUGCGCAACUUGGUGGGGUACUCACUCUUCUUCCUCGGCUCAGUCGCACUCAUCAUCCUGGAUCUUGCGACGUUGGGAAGAGGUGGAAUCACAACUUUCACCGGUGUGUGUACGAUUGUCGCGGUGUUCGGUGUCGCGGAAGGUCACGUCGAAGGUGCCAUGACCGGGGACCUAUGCUUGAUGUUCCCGGAGUUCAUGCAGUCAUUUUCUGUUGGCAUGGCUGCAUCAGGCGCAAUAACGUCGGCAAGGCUCGUUACGAAAGCAGCCUUUGAGAAAUCCAGAGACAACCUUCGCAGGGGAGCUAUGUUGUUCUUUGCUACAUCAUGCUUCUUCGAGAUGAUGUGUGUCGUGUUGUACGCCCACGUCUUCCCCAAGCGGCCAAUAGUGAAAUUCUACCAUGCAAAGGCGGCUUCCAAGGGAUCUCUGACGGUCGCCGCCGACCUUGCUGCCGCCAGCCCCCAAAGACACCCAAAACCAUCACAACAGGAUGACCCAGCCAUCCCUGAACGUUUGAGGAACAAGCACAUCCUUAUGCAGAACAUGGACUAUGCCUUGGACAUGUUCCUCAUCUACCUGCUGACGUUGUCCGUCUUCCUCGGAUUUCUCGCCGAAGAACUCGGAUCACACAGCUUGGGCUCCUGGUACGCGCUGGUGCUGAUCGCGACCUACAACGGCUCAGACCUGGUCGGGAGAUACGUGCCUCUGGUGGAGAUCAUCAAGGUGACAUCCCGGAGGGGGCGGAUGGCCAUGGUGCUAGCCCGGUACCUGCUCCUCCCGGUGUUCUACUGUGCCGCCAGGUACAGAGGGGAGGCCUGGAUGGUCGCGCUUGCGUCGGCUCUCGGACUCAGCAACGGGUACCUGAUACGUCCAUUUUGCAUCAUGUUUUCUUACUGUUAUUUAUAA